rnacentral:rRNA from 1 species
UUAGGGCACGACACCGGAGAGGGAGCCUGAGAAACGGCUACCACAUCCAAGGAUGGCAGCAGGCGCGCAAAUUACCCAAUCCCGACACGGGGAGGUAGUGACAAUAAAUAACAAUACGGGGUUCUUUAGGAUCUCGUAAUUGGAAUGAGUACAAUUUAAAUCUCUUAACGAGGAACAAUUGGAGGGCAAGUCUGGUGCCAGCAGCCGCGGUAAUUCCAGCUCCAAUAGCGUAUAUUAAAGUUGUUGCAGUUAAAAAGCUCGUAGUUGAAUUUCGGGGUUAGUAGGUUGGUCAUGCCUCUGGUAUGUACUGGUCUCACUGAUUCCUCCUUCCUGAUGAACCUUAAUGCCAUUAAUUUGGUGUUUUGGGGAAUUUGGACUGUUACUUUGAAAAAAUUAGAGUGUUUAAAGCAAGCUAACGCUUGAAUACAUUAGCAUGGAAUAAUGAAAUAGGACGUUCGAUCCUAUUUUGUUGGUUUCUAGGAUUGACGUGAUGGUUAAUAGGGAUAGUUGGGGGCAUUAGUAUUCAAUUGUCAGAGGUGAAAUUCUUGGAUUUAUUGAAGACUAACUACUGCGAAAGCAUUUGCCAAGGAUGUUUUCAUUAAUCGAGAACGAAAGUUGGGGGAUCGAAGACGAUCAGAUACCGUCGUAGUCUUAACCAUAAACUAUGCCGACUAGGGAUCGGAUGAUGUUAAUUUUUUUAAUGACUCAUUCGGCGCCUUACGGGAAACC